AUGUACGACCAUACACAGUGGAAAGUACGGCAUCGCGUCCGCUUUGCCCCAGUUAACCCACUGAGGGCCCGGUCAGUAGUUGGGCCGGUGACGACCAGCGAAAUCCGGGUUGGACGUGAUUA
rnacentral:rRNA from 1 species